GCUCAUGAGGUUUCCAGUAAGAAGGUGUCAUGGUGGCUGAAAAGGACUAAACCAGAGAGUUCUGCAUCAUCUGGAUACGGAACACGGAGUUCUGUAGUGAGUGAAGCAGAGAAGCCUGACAGGGUGACACUGGAAGAGGACAGUGUAGGUGACACUCCACACUAAACACUGCUCUACACUGCCCCAUGUGGUAGAUUGUGUAACUACUUCAUCUGCUGUUUUUUCCAAAACCAUACAUUUGCUUUUCAAUGUUUUUGAUUGAAAAAAUUCCAAGUCUUUCAUACUUAUGAUUUCAGCGAUUUGUGUCUGUGAUCAGUUGAAACUGAAAGGCCUGUAAAAAUAUUAAAUAUUCUGUGAUUCAUUCAAUGCAAUCAAAGCCAUGCUGAUGGCUAUGGGCAAGCCAAUAUACAGUUGAAAACUAGAUUGAAUUAGAAAGAUGUGUAAUUUCAUAGUAUACAUGGCAUAGACAAGAUCAAAUUUAUAUAACAUUUCUGUGUAUCUAUGUGUCUGGCUCAGUGUGUAAUGGCAGUGGGGUGCGGGUUUGAAUCUUGGCUAUGCCCAUGUCAUCAGCUGACCGACAGGGAGUCUGCUGAUGGACACAUUUGAUCUUGCUGAGUUACUCUGGUUACUGCAGCAUUAGUUCUCCCCAGUGGCUCACUUUACACACACAGGCUACAGGAUGAGAGACACGCCUCUCUGCUUUUUCCUUCAGCUGCAAUGCUUCUGGUGUGCAGGUGGCAUAAUUCAAGUGACAUACUGGCAAUACUGUGUAUAUCAGUGGUCUCUAACCCUGGUCCUGGAGAGCUACAGGGUCUGCUGGUUUUCAUAGUGACUCUGCACUUCAUGAAUCAAUUAGAGCAGUUGAUUACACAGCUAACUCAACUGACCUGGUGUCUUGGGUCUCAAUUGGGUGCUGAUUUUAAGGUGAGAACAAAACGCAGACCCUGAAGCUCUACAGUACCAGGGUUGGAGACCACUGAUGUAUAUGUUUUAUUUGUGUAUAUUACAUAUAUUUUGAUACUUCAUGAAACAGAUCCACAAGAAUUGUCAGUUUUAGUAAUUUCUGAGAUUAACUACUCAAGAUAAGCACAGGGUAUUCCAAGGCUUUCCCCAGAAAAAUAGAGGAAGGAGAAGUGCCUCAGAGGGUAUGCAGUGGUGACUUCAAGUGGCAAGUCAUGGUAUUUGCAGGGUGUAGCCCAGUGAUUCCCAAACAUUUUUGGUCAGGGCCCCUGUUAAGGAGUGGCCCUUCACUAUUUGUUUAAUUGUUUAAUUGAUUGUAAUGUGUUAAAUUGAGGUAAUUCAAAGCAGGUGAAACAGAUUGGCUCCACCUAUUUAAAGUGUCUGUCAGUAGGGACAGAAAAAAGGAAGGUGAACCACUAACAUUUGUACUGCUGGUGGUUUUAAAAUAAAUUAUUAAUCUAUUUAAGUUGUUUUAUUCAGUUUUACUCAGUAGUUUUUAAGCCUUUUCACAGCCCCCCUUUGUUAACCAUAAAUUGUGAACCCCCUCCCAACCAAUUUAGUUACUCAUACAAGUUGUUAUUCAAUUUUCCAGAGACAUGUUUUAUUUUGCAUUUCAGUGCGUAAAAUUAAUUGUACAGGUUUCAGACUGAAUUAAUCUGCUGUUCAAUACAUGUGGAAAUGAAAUGUAGAAUGCCAAAAAAAUCCAUUAAAAUAUUGUGACCACAGGUCACUUGCUAUUCUAACGCUGUCAUUAUGGUACAGGCUUCAUGCCUCACAUGAGGCGGUGUCAAUAGCCUUUUCAAAAGAUAGGAAAAAAAUACCCGUUUUCCAUCAGUUACAGCAGUAACAGCCUGUUCCGACAGAACAGCCUUUAAUCUUUUAACUUUUAAUCUUUUAGCUUUUUUUGGCAGAUCACUGGCUCUAUGUCCACGUCAGUAGCAUGCAGCAUGUUCCAUGUUUGGGGAUAAUUACAAGAUACCAUUACUGUGUUUAUUGUUUUGUUUUUUUUUUUGGCGGGGGAACAUUUAUUUUGGGUUUAUGCCUGUGCAGGUGGAUCGUCUGGCUGCCCAUUAACCUGUUUAAAUGUUUUUCUUGGUGCUCUAGUGACACUUUAUGUGCUUAAGCAUCAUAAUGUGACGGCCUUUCAUGAUGAUAUAUCAAAUGAAUGAAAAGUUCAUGAAUAGAUGGUUAUAGUUUAUUGUGGUUUAAUAGCCCUACCACAGUGCCCCCUGCUGGUGGGAGUGAGCACCAUCAGCCAUCCGUGCAUUUGAUAUUGUGCCAUUCUCAAAGAACAGGCUUGGAGUGUGUGUGUGUGUGUGUGUGUGUGUGUGUGUGUGCGUGAGUGUGAGCGUACAUACAUGUGACAGAGAAAAAACUAAAGAGAAAAGGAUAACUGAAAUGAUCCAACCUUGUCACAAGUGAAAUAUUUUUCUUACAGAUGAGUUCUAUUUUUUAAACAAUGGUUUAGUAAUGGGGGGGGGGGGGGGGCUUAUACCUUCUCUCAAGCUAGGGUAGGGGAAGGGGGUAGUCCUGAUGUAGCCACAACUUCUAAAUCUUGAAUCUCCUGACCAUGUUGUAAUUCAUGGAACAUUACAGAAAUGUCUUUUUUUGGGUGUUACCUCACAACCUGGGGAAACCAAGGCCGUGUCCUUCAGCAAGAGCCUGCCGAGUAAAAUGGCUUCCGUGUUUUCUGAAUGUCGAACUUCCAGCCAGUGACCUUUGUGAAAGUGUAGUGCUUUGUGCUAGCCUUGAAUGCACUGUAAGCCAUAGCCGCUGUUUUACAAAGAGCUAAAAUGGAGCUCUUUCAUUUCUUACAACAGGGGAAAAAUGUUCAAAUCAGCAAAAACUGCCAUCACAGCAACAACAAAAAAUGUUUUUUAAAAUUAAUAAGAAAGCGGAAUUUUCCUGGCAGCCAUAUAUAUUUUACAAUGUUUUAAGUGUUAGGCCUAAAUAUACUAUGGUCUAGCAUGUAAGUAUUAUAAUAUUCAAAAACAUCUGUACAGUGAGGCUUUCUACAAUAAGCCAUGAAACAGGAAAAGUAUGUUUUUUAAGUGAAUUUAAUGCCAACUCAAGGGCUAAAGUGCAGUAGCUGUGCGUGAUUUAUGACCCUUAUGUGAACACGAUAAUGCAAUAAAGCAAUAAUCCGGAGUAUAAAAUUGUUGGCUCCGAUGCCUUAAAAGUUGAACUUUAAUUAAUGAUGGUUAUAGCAGGAGAAUGAAUCUGAUAAAAGGCUUUAACCUGUACAUACUGUAAACCAUGCUCCUGAAACUUUUUAUGUAUUGAAUGCUAAUUUAAUUGGCUAAAAAUUGUUCUCUCUCUCUUCACCUUAAUUCAUUCUUUCAACUUUUUAUUUUUGUAAAGGUGUGGGAACUGAUAAUUAAAAUCACAAAAUGCAAAGGAUUUUUUUUCUUUGGCUCUUGCAAUGUCUGAUUUGAAGAUUAAAAACCUGUGAGUCAUAA